UAUUUCCCGCCACUCUAACUUUCCCACCAGCUAAUUCUUUGUUUACUCCCGCCAUCGUCAUAAAAUCUCUCGUCAAAACCUUACACUGCACACUUCUUUAUUAGUUUAGUUUAAUGCUGUCGCUGCGUUCAUGUUCUUAUUUCGGCAGAAAAUCCCUAAUUUCAACAUCAUUCCUGUCCCGAUUUCUCUUAUCCAAAAAACCCUCGUUGAUCUCAAUCUCCCCUUUCUCUUCAAAAGCUAAUCGUAACCCUAGAAUCAAAUAUCUCGAAAUGUCUGAUCCACCACCACCAAAAAAUGCUUUCGCUAUGCUCAUGGGUAAUCGACCUAAUGCAAAGAAAAAACCCCAAUCUCCUUCUCCUUCUCCUUCCAAGAAGGACCCUAAAACCCUAACAGAAGAUGCCCUUAAAGUUGAAGCUGUAACCGAAGAUGGUCCUCUGGCUAAGAAACCUAAAACCCUAGAAGGGGUAAAAGAAGAGUCAAAGGAGGUCAAGAAGGAAGACAAAUCAGUUAAUUUGGGUGAAAAGAUUGCUUUGUUGAAAAAGAAAGGAUUAGAUUUUAAGCCAAAAUCGGUUGCGUUUUGGAAAGACGGGGAAUCGAUUCCGUUUAUGUUUCUUGCUAGGGCAUUUGAUUUGAUAUCUAACGAGUCAUCAAGAAUUGUGAUUACAGAUAUUCUUGGUAAUGUUUUUAGAACUGUAAUUGCUACUACACCUGGAGAUUUGGUUUCUUUUGUUUAUCUAUCUGCAUGUAAAAUUUAUCCUGCACAUGAUGGGAUUGAGCUUGGCAUUGGAGAUGCUGCUAUUAUUAAGUCACUUAGUGAAGCUUAUGGAAAGAGUGAGACUCAAAUUAAGAAAGAGCUCAAGAAAGAGGGAGACUUGGGUUUGGUAGCAAAAGCAAGCCGUUCUUCUCAAUCUACAAUGUUCAAGCCUGCUCCAUUAACUGUUGCGAAGGUUUUGGAUACAUUUCGUAUUCUUGCCAAGGUUUCGGGGAAGGAUAGUCAGGAGAGAAAAAGGAACCAUAUCAAAGCACUUCUUGUUGCAGCUAGUGAUUGUGAACCUCUGUAUAUAAUUCGUCUUCUGCAGUCAAAGUUGAGGAUUGGUUUGGCAGAGCAGACUGUCUUAGUAGCUUUGGCUCAAGCUGCUGCAUAUUCUGAAAGACCGUCAGAUCCUCCUAUUGAAGAAGCUGUAAAGGUUAUAAAGCAAGUCUAUUCCGUGCACCCUAAAUAUGAUACCAUUGUCAGUGCUCUUCUCAGUGAUGGUGUGUUGAAGCUCCCCGAUACAUGUACUUUUGUACCAGGUGUUCCUAUUGGUCCUAUGUUAGCCAAACCCACAAAGGGGGUGUCCGAGAUUCUCGACAAAUUCCAGAACAGGGAUUUCACCUGUGAGUACAAGUAUGACGGGGAACGUGCUCAGAUACACUACCUCGAAGAUGGUUCAGUUGAGAUAUAUAGUCGAAAUGCUGAAAGAAAUACUGGAAAGUUUCCUGAUGUUAUUCAAUCAGUGCAAAGGUUCAAGAAGCCUUCAGUAAGCUCGUUUGUCCUGGAUUGUGAAGUUGUGGCAUUUGACCGCAAAAACAGUAAAAUUUUGUCUUUCCAGAAACUGAGUAACCGGGCUCGUAAAGAUGUUUCCAUCGAUGACAUAACAGUUCAAGUUUGCAUCUUUGCUUUUGAUAUAUUGUAUCUCAAUGGUGAACAACUUCUCCAAGAGCAAUUAAAUGUCCGUAGAAAGCAUCUUUACGACUCAUUUGUGGAAGUACCAGGAGAAUUUAAGUUUGCGACAGAAGUAACAUCAAAUGAUCUUGAAGCAAUACAGACUUUUCUUGAUACUGCAAUUGUGGACAGUUGUGAAGGUUUGAUUGUCAAAACAUUAAGUACAGAAGCUACUUAUGAGCCUGCGAAGAGGUCCAACAACUGGUUGAAACUGAAGAAGGAUUAUAUGGACAACAUCGGAGACUCCCUAGAUUUAGUUCCUAUAGGGGCAUACCAUGGCAGAGGAAAACGUACUGGUGGUUAUGGAGGCUUUCUUCUUGCUUGUUACGAUGAUGAGAAAGAGGAAUUCCAAUGCAUAUGCAAGAUAGGCACCGGAUUUUCUGAAAAAAUGCUCGAAGAGCGUUCUUCCAGUCUUGAAAGUCAAGUGAUUCCUCAACCAAAGUCAUACUACCGCUUUACAGAUGCAACUAAUCCAGAUGUAUGGUUUGAACCAACUGAGGUGUGGGAGGUCAAAGCUGCAGAUUUGAGUAUUAGUCCUGUUUAUCUUGCUGCAGCUGGUGCUGUGGAUGCAGUCAAGGGCAUUUCACUGCGAUUUCCACGCCUGCUUCGUGUACGAGAAGACAAGAAGCCAGAGGAAGCCACAACGUCUGACCAGGUUGCUGAUAUGUAUCGUGCUCAAAAGAUUAACCAUGGAAACAACCAAGAUGAAGAGGAUGAUAACUGAAUCACUAAAAGAAAAGAAAACUCAUAACCUUCGAAAGUUUAAGAUUGGUAAUCAUCAUCAGUAAAAGCAUAUUAGUGGAAUCGUCUAUGGGAAUAUCUUAUCAAAAAGCAGUACACAAUUCUCUGACUGUAAUGUCAAGGAGUACAGCUUGUUAGGGACAACUGAGGAGGUGCUUACAUUCAUUCCUUGUUCUGGUAUCCAAGGUAGCUGCCAUUCUCUGGUCGAACUGUUGAAACUAAGAACAUUUCCAGUAUGAACAGAAAGCCAUCCAUUCCAUUCUGGUGAUGAUCUGCUACUAGUUGGUAGUUAGGAAUUUCUUAUUAUUUAUUAUGAGAUGACAUUUUUAACAGUAAAAAAGACUCAAAACAAUAUGAAGAACAAACAGCAGAAGCAAUGAACCCAAAGGACCACAGAUACCUAAACGAUUUGCAGACUUAAUUAAAAAGUAAAUGGAGAUGAACGAUAAUUUCUUUCA